CUCUUUAUGAAUAUGAUUUAAAGUACAAUCUGCCCACUGAUAAAAUUAAAUGGCUGCAGUAAUUUGACUGUACAAAGGUAGCAUAAUAAUUAGUUUUUUAAUUGAAAGCUGGAAUGAAAGAUUUCACGAGGGGGUAGCUGUCUCUUUAAUAGAAUAAUAGAAUUUUAUUUUUAAGUUAAAAGGCUUAGAUUUAUUUAUAAGACGAGAAGACCCUAUAGAAUUUAAUUGUGAUUAUAUUUUAGAAUUAAAUUGAUAAAUUUGGUUGGGGUGACCACAAGAUUAAACAAACUCUUGUGAGUAAGAGCAAAUGUAUUUGUUUCAAGGAUUCUUUUUAAGAUUAAAGAUAAAUUACCUUAGGGAUAACAGCGUAAUUUUAUUUCUGAGAUCUUAUUAGUAAUAUAGUUUGCGACCUCGAUGUUGGAUUAAAAUUUAUUUUUGGUGAAGUAGCUAAAAAAUUGAGUCUGUUCGACUUUUAAAAUUUUACA
rnacentral:rRNA from 1 species